AAUAAACUGACCCUUUUAUCAGCAAGUAACGUUCUUCUUUGUUUCUCAUAACAAUUUUUGACAUAAAGUCUAUUUUGUCUGAUAGUACUAUAAAUAUGCCAGCUCUCUUUUAAUUACGAUUUACAUGGAAUUUCUUUUCCCCACUCUUUCAUUUCCACCUAUUUUUGUCUUUGGAUCUUUGUGUCUGAUGCUCUCGUAGAAAGUAUAUAGCUGGGAAAUCUCUUUUCUCCUCUGUCUGCCUUUUCUUUGGAGGGUUUAAUCUACUUAUCUUUGAGGUAAUUACUGAUAAGAAAGAACUUACUCCUGCUAUUUUGUUAUUUGCUUUCUUUUUUUAACCUUAUUUGUUUCAGAGAGAGUUCACGUGCAAGCAGGGGAGGGGCAGAAAGAGAUGGGGAGAGAGAGGAUCCUAGGGAGGCUCUGCACAGUCAGCACUGAGCUGGACGUGGGGCUUGAGCUGAUAAACCAUGAGAUCGUGACCUGAGCCGAAAUCAAGAGUCAGGUGCUUAACCGACGGAGCCACCCAGGUGCCCCAGUUUCAAUUAUAAUGUCCUGGUGUGGAUCUCUUCCAGUUAUCCUGCUAGGAGUUUGCUGAGCUGCUUGCACAGAUGGAUGACUGUUAUCAAAGUUGGUAUGGUGAGGCCAACAGAUCAAGAGACAGUUGCCAUCGGAAAGACAGUUGGUGGGUGACUCGGUCGGUUAAGCGCCCGUCUCCUGAUUUCGGCUCAGGUCAUGAUCUCACAGUUUGGUGGGUCUGAGCCCCUCAUCAGGCUCUGCGCUGACAGCGUGGAGCCUGCUUGGGAUUCUCUCUCUCCCUCUUUCUCUGCCCCUCCCCUGCUCGUGUGCACGCUCUCUUUCAAAAUAAGUAAACUUUUUUUAAAUAGUUACAGAUCCCACGAGGAGGGCACACAGCACACCAUACGGGGCCCCACGGGGAAGCACCAGGGGCUGGCAGGAGGCAGAGACGUGGGCAGGAGCCUUUACUGUGGUUUCUACAGGACGAAAAGGCAAGGUGGACAGAUUUGGGAUUGGCUACUUUGAAUCAUCUCGGUGGGCUCUGGGGUGGAGGGGCAAGCCUAGUUGUCGCGGACCUGGCCCCGGGGAGAUCAGGGCAAGUGGACCCUGCCUCUUGGCACGAGGCCACCUGCUAGGCAGGGGCUCUGAUUGGCUGCUUUGCACACAUAGGUGCUGUGGCAGGCGAGGGCUGUGUUAUCUCUAGGAACUAGCCCGGCCUGGGCAGGGCGGUCCCUCCCGGAGCAGCGAGGCCCCAAGAUGUCAAAGCAUCAGAAUAUAGAAAAGAAAAACUGGAAUUGACACACUCCUCACCCCUCUGCUCUCACUGCCCACUCUCCCCUCUCGCCUGUCUCUGCAGCCGCCCCCUUCGGCAGCGGAUGAACACCAGUGAUGUGUCUCUGGUCUCCUCGACCCAAAGAAGCGCGGCAUCGCUGACCCUUCCCGCCUCACUGUCCCCAUCACCUCCCACUUCUGGACUCCUGGCUCACAGGCCCCUGGUGGCUCCGCUGUGGCUCCUGCCUGCUUUUGCUGCACAGUGUUCUCAGCCUGAGAAAGCCUGAUGCACCCAAGCCCUGACCCCCAACCUUCACGCGAGUCUUUGGCAUCUAGUGGGAGAGACAGCAGCCUCCGGAUACAACACAGCUCGUACCCCAAGAGAGGCAGGUGCCAGCCCGACCGCCCAGUGGCCCUCCUGGCUCCGGCUCCAGAGUGCACACCUAUCCAGGUUCCCUGUCGCGGCUACAACAAAUGACCUCAGCCACGGUGGCUUAAAGCAACGCAGAUUUAUGAGCCUGCAGUCCUAGAGGGCACAAGUCCUAAAAUCAAGGUGUUGGCAGGGCCAAGAUCGUCCCGGAGGCUUUGUGGCCAAUCUGUGUCCUCACCUCCUCUGCCUUCUAGAGUGGCCUGCACGCCCCGACUCAUGGCCUUCCUCCUCCUGCAAAGCCAGCCAUGAAGCACCUUCCGGUCUCUGCCUCUGCAGCCUGCUUCUGUCGCCACUCUCCUCUGACCCUCUGGCCUCCCUGUCCUCAGGACCCUUGUGAUGACAUGGGGCCACCUGGAUAAUCCAGGAUCAUCUCAUCUCCAGAGCCUUAACCACAUCUGCAGAGUCCCUUUUGCUAUGUAAGGUGACAUAUUCUCAGGUUCUGGGGAUCAGGACAAUGGACAUCUUGUGGGGGGGAGCAUUAUUCUGCCUGCCGCAGCACCCAUGGGGGUCACACUUCUGAGACAGGUGUCCACGAAACACUUCUUCAGGGAAGGGAUAUGUGGACCCAGUUCUGGAAAAUGGUGGGUCACCCAGAUGUGAUCUGAAGGCCUUUGACAUCAGCCCGAGAAGCCAGGCAAGGGAGACCCCUUUCCAGGCUCAGUUCUGCAAAGUGAGGGAUUCUCACCCGGGGCAAUUCUGCCCCCAAGGGACACCUGGCAACGUCUGGAGAGAGAGGUGGUUGUCACAGCAGGAGAGGAGGGACGCCCCCUCUCCACAAAGAAUCCUCUGGCCCAAUGGCCAGUGCCCCUACAGCAUAGCUACUAGCACCUGUCUCCUGGCCGUGUCUCCAAACCCCGAGGGGCUCCACCACCCCCUUGGAGGGUUUCUGCUCCAUGACCUUUGGCCUCUGACACCAGUCCCGCCUUUCUUGAGAAAAGCAGUUUUCAGUUUCUCCUGACCCUUGGCCUGCACUGGGUACAUUUGAGUGGGUUGGACACUCCUAGCUGGGGAAUUUGAAGGCCCAGGAAGAAGAGGAUGGAACAGGAGCAGUGCUUUCCACCCACCCCACCCCACCCUUCCCCACCCCACCCCUCCCCAGGCUGACUGCCCUGGCCUCUGGGUCCCCAUGCUGGGAAAGUGAGGCAGAUGGUGUGCUAAGGACACUGGUCACUGGGUGGGGACUAAGCUACUUCACUCACGCAGCACAGGGCAGCAGGUGACAGACCCAGGACAAAAGGAGGGAGUUGGGGGUGAGCUGUCCCCCUCCAGCUCCUUGUUGCUGCUGCCCUGUAACACAGUCAGCAACACCCCUGGAGUCAGAUGUGUGGUCACUGGGCCGGGGCAGGGGUGCAAGGGCCCCCAGCUUCGGGGGCCUGAUUUGCUGGUGGGGGCGGGGCUAGAGGCAGGCCCUGCCAGAACACUAUCAGCCCAGGCUAGGGUUAGGGCCUGCUUCUUGUCCAUUCGGCCAGCAAACCUUUGACACCUGCCAGGUGCCGGGCCCUGUGCUGGGCAGCGGGGGUGACAAGACUCAGCCGGUCCCUCAAGGGGCCACAGUGACCAGGAAGAGCAGGGCUCAUGCUGGUGACUGCUUACCUGAGGUAGACCCCGUGCCGGGGGUCUCACCGCUGCUUUCUUCGUGGCAUGGUGGUGGGGGUAGGGGGACAGACUUACUGCCCUUCUAGGGGAAGGGACGGGGCAUAUUGGCCAGGGAGGAGGGAGGCGGAGGUCUGGGCCGAGCAAGCCCCCAUGCAGCAGUACAGAGAGGGGGAGGAAGGACAGCAUGUGUCCGUGGGGGCUCCCCUCGGUGUGAGACCGAGAAGACCCUUGCUCCUGGGGAUAGGAGGGUUGCUCUGGGAAGAUGGCCGGACCCCACUUUUACUCCUUGCUGCCCAUAGCUAAUCUGGCCGGCCUCUGUGGACUUCCAUGUGGCUGCUCUCUGGGCUGGAGUCCCUGAUGUAUGGCUCCCCAUCCCCCCACCGGGGCCCCAGGUCAGCCCCAUCCACAGAGAAUGGGGUGUCCAAGCCCCAGAAUCCUGCUUCCUGAAGCGUGGAAGGCUGGGCGGUGCCCACGGAUGACGAGGGGCCGCCUGAGCUCCUGGGCCAACCCCUGCGGGAACCCGGGGGGCUGUGGCACAAAUCACACACUUCCCUAGUGUUGUGGACUGAAUGGUGUCCUCACGUCCGGAGCUCAUGUGUCACAGCCCCACCCUGCAGGACCUCAGAAUGUGACUGUGUUUGGAGAGAGGGCCUCUAAAGGAGGUGAUCAAGUUAAAAUGAGGCCAUCAGGGUGGGCCCUGAUCCAGUAUGACUGGUGUCCUUACAAAAAGGGGAAAUUAGGACACAGAUGCGCACUGAAGACCGUGUGAGGACAUGGGGGGGUGGGGGGGAAGGCGGCCAUCUGCAGGCCAAGGAGGGACGCCUCAGAACAAACCAGCCCUGCCCACACCUGGAUCUUGGGCUUCUGGCCUCCAGAACGAACGAGGAGGAAAUAUUUUUUUAGACGAGAAGAAGACUGUAUUUAAAACAUACCAUCAGAUACAUAUAAUAGCAUCAACCGUUUAUUUAGGGGCG